CAGGUAAAGACCAGCGCGUAAUCCUGGCUGCCACACCAAAUUAUACCAAUCACUAAGCCGCCGGGCGGCGACAUGGCUUUGCUGCAGCAAUUGCCAAAGCCUUCUUAUCUUCUUCUGCAUCUUCUUCUUCUUCUAAGGAAGCAGCCAGUCACUCACUGAUCAGACACACAUCCACGAGCAGGAGCAGCAGCAGCAGCAGUGCUUGCGGGUAACAUCAGCAGCAAGAGGUAGAUGAUAAGCACGGAGACGGACACUCUUCUUCUCUAAGCGGACGCCUUGUCGAACUUGAGGGGCUUCACCACCUCCCAGGUGAAGUCGGUGUCGUCGCGCCCGAAGUGACCGUAGGCCGCGGUCUUGAUGAACCUGUUGCCGCCCUUCUUGAGGUCGAGGUUGAUGGUGAUCAUCCCGGGCCUGAAGUCGAAGUUCUCCUUCACGAUCUUGAGGAUCUCCUUGUCGGGGAUCUUGCCGGUGCCGUACGAGUCGACGAACACCGACAGGGGCUCGGGAACGCCGAUGGCGUAGGACACCUGCACGAGGCAGCGGCGGGCGAGGCCGCUGGCCACGAUGCUCUUGGCCGCCUGCCUGGCGAUGUAGGCGCCGCUGCGGUCAACCUUGGUGGGGUCCUUUCCGGAGAAGGCACCACCGCCGUGGGCUCCCCAGCCGCCGUAGGUGUCGAUGAUGAUCUUGCGGCCGGUGAGGCCGGCGUCGCCGUGCGGCCCGCCGAUGACGAAGCGGCCCGAAGGGUUGAGGUGGAAGAUGGUCUUCUCGUCGAGGUACUUCUCCGGGAUGAUGGGCUUGAUGACGUGCUCCUUGAGGUCGGCGGCGAUCUCGUCGUUGGUGACGGUCUCGUCGUGCUGGGUGGAGAUGAGGACGGUGUGGACGCGGACGGGGACCAUGGCGCCGCCCUCGUUGACGUACUCGACGGUGACCUGGGUCUUGCCGUCGGGCCUGAGCCAGGCGCAGGUGCCGUUCUUGCGGACCUCGGUGAGGCGCGCGCCGAGCUUGGUAGCGAGGACGUGGCUGAGCGGCAUGAGCUCGGGGGUCUCGUCGGUGGCGUAGCCGAACAUGUGGCCUUGGUCGCCGGCGCCAAUCUCCUCGGGGCGCUUGGUGAAGUGGCCGUGCACGCCCUGCGCGAUGUCGGGGGACUGCUGCUCGAUGUUGACGAGCACCUUGCAGCGGUCGGCGUCGAGGCCGACGUCGUCGGAGGUGAAGCCGAUCUCGCGGCAGGUGUCGCGUACAAUCUUCUCGUAGUCGACGGUGGCCUUGGUGGUGAUCUCGCCGAACACCAUCACCAUGUUGGUCUUGGUGCAGGUCUCGCAGGCCACCUUGCUGUCGGGGUCCUGCGCCAGGCACGCGUCCAGGACGGCGUCCGACACCUGGUCGCACAGCUUGUCGGGGUGCCCCUCGUUCACGGACUCCGAGGUGAACAGGAAGCUCUCCGCCGCCAUUGCUGCUGCUGCCUUCUCGGGUAGAUUACUCCACCAACCUCUGCGCAUGGGAGCAAUCAAGGAAUCAUCAGAAUCCACUGCGCAUAGUUCGAAUUGAAUGACCAACAAAUGGUAAAAUUCGAUGCCUUCAGAUCCAAAAUUGGCGCAGCACAGACAGCAUAACAUGCACAGGCUGCGCUGCGAGAUCUAAAAAUUCAGAAAAUUCCCAAAUUUUCCCCAUUGCUGACUACGAAA
rnacentral:lncRNA from 1 species